rnacentral:rRNA from 1 species
AUUGAACGCUGGCGGCAGGCUUAACACAUGCAAGUCGAGCGGGGUGAUGGUGCUUGCACUAUCACUUAGCGGCGGACGGGUGAGUAAUGCUUAGGAAUCUGCCUAUUAGUGGGGGACAACAUCUCGAAAGGGAUGCUAAUACCGCAUACGUCCUACGGGAGAAAGCAGGGGAUCACUUGUGACCUUGCGCUAAUAGAUGAGCCUAAGUCGGAUUAGCUAGUUGGUGGGGUAAAGGCCUACCAAGGCGACGAUCUGUAGCGGGUCUGAGAGGAUGAUCCGCAACACUGGGACUGAAACACGGCCCAGACUCCUACGGGAGGCAGCAGUGGGGAAUAUUAGACAAUGGGGGGAACCCUAAUCCAGCCAUGCCGCGUGUGUGAAGAAGGCCUUAUGGUUGUAAAGCACUUUAAGCGAGGAGGAGGCUCUUUUGGUUAAUACCCAAGAUGAGUGGACGUUACUCGCAGAAUAAGCACCGGCUAACUCUGUGCCAGCCGCCGCCGUAA